UACGGAGGGUGCAAGCGUUAUCCGGAUUCACUGGGUUUAAAGGGUGCGUAGGUGGGCAGGUAAGCCAGUGGUGAAAUCUCCGGGCUUAACUCGGAAACUGCCAUUGAUACUAUCUGUCUUGAAUACCGUGGAGGUUAGCGGAAUAUGUCAUGUAGCGGUGAAAUGCUUAGAUAUGACAUAGAACACCAAUUGCGAAGGCAGCUGGCUACACGAAUAUUGACACUGAUGCACGAAAGCGUGGGGAUCAAACAGG
rnacentral:rRNA from 1 species